rnacentral:rRNA from 1 species
UUCCGGUUGAUCCUGCCGGACCUGACCGCUAUCGGGGUGGGGCUAAGCCAUGCGAGUCGCGCGCCCGGGGCGCCGGGCGCGGCGCACGGCUCAGUAACACGUACCCAACCUAACCUCGGGAGGGGGACAACCCCGGGAAACUGGGGCUGAUCCCCCAUAGGGGAAGGGCGCUGGAAGGCCCCUUCCUCCAAAGGGAUCGCGGGCGAUCUCCCGCGGUCCGCCCGAGGAUGGGGGUACGGCCCAUCAGGUUGUUGGCGGGGUAACGGCCCGCCAAGCCGAAGACGGGUAGGGGCGGUGAGAGCCGUGAGCCCCGAGAUGGGCACUGAGACAAGGGCCCAGGCCCUACGGGGUGCAGCAGGCGCGAAUACUCCGCAAUGCGGGCAACCGCGACGGGGCCACCCCGAGUGCCGGGCGAAGAGCCCGGCUUUUGCCCGGUGUAAGGAGCCGGGCGAAUAAGCGGGGGGUAAGUCUGGUGUCAGCCGCCGCGGUAAUACCAGCCCCGCGAGUGGUCAGGGUGAUUACUGGGCUUAAAGCGCCCGUAGCCGGCCCGGCAAGUCGCUCCUGAAAUCCCCAGGCUCAACCUGGGGGCGGGGGGCGAUACUGCCGGGCCAGGGGGCGGGAGAGGCCGCCGGUACUCCGGGGGUAGGGGCGAAAUCCUAUAAUCCCCGGAGGACCACCAGUGGCGAAAGCGGGCGGCCAGAACGCGCCCGACGGUGAGGGGCGAAAGCCGGGGGAGCAAAGGGGAUUAGAUACCCCUGUAGUCCCGGCCGUAAACGAUGCGGGCUAGCUGUCGGUCGGGCUUAGGGCCCGGCCGGUGGCGUAGGGAAACCGUUAAGCCCGCCGCCUGGGGAGUACGGCCGCAAGGCUGAAACUUAAAGGAAUUGGCGGG